rnacentral:rRNA from 1 species
AGUGAACGCUGGCGGUAGGCCUAACACAUGCAAGUCGAACGGCAGCACAGUAAGAGCUUGCUCUUACGGGUGGCGAGUGGCGGACGGGUGAGGAAUACAUCGGAAUCUACUUUUUCGUGGGGGAUAACGUAGGGAAACUUACGCUAAUACCGCAUACGACCUACGGGUGAAAGCAGGGGAUCUUCGGACCUUGCGCGAUUGAAUGAGCCGAUGUCGGAUUAGCUAGUUGGCGGGGUAAAGGCCCACCAAGGCGACGAUCCGUAGCUGGUCUGAGAGGAUGGUCAGCCACACUGGAAGUGAGACACGGUCCAGACGCCUACGGGAGGCAGCAGUGGGGAAUAUUGGACAAUGGGCGCAAGCCUGAUCCAGCCAGACCGCGUGGGUGAAGAAGGCCUUCGGGUUGUAAAGCCCUUUUGUUGGGAAAGAAAAGCAGCAGGUUAAUACCCCGCUGUUCUGACGGUACCCAAAGAAUAAGCACCGGCUAACUUCGUG